rnacentral:tRNA from 1 species
GUUCUGGUAGCUCAGCAGGGAGAGCGGCAGGUGCCGUUCACCGCGGUCCUGCAGGUCGUGUGUUCAAAUCAUACCCAGAGCC